GCUUGUCUCAAAGAUUAAGCCAUGCAUGUCUAAGUAUAAAUAAUUCUAUACUGUGAAACUGCGAAUGGCUCAUUAUAUCAGUUAUAGUUUAUUUGAUAGUCCCUUACUACUUGGAUAACCGUAGUAACUCUAGAGCUAAUACAUGCACAAAAUCCCGACUUACGAAGGGAUGUAUUUAUUAGAUACAAACCAACAUCGUGGUGAUUCAUAAUAACUUUCGGAUCGUUUACGAUGCAUCAUUCAAGUUUCUGCCCUAUCAGCUUUGGAUGGUAGGGUAUUGGCCUACCAUGGCUUUAACGGGUAACGGAGAAUUAGGGUUCGAUUCCGGAGAGGGAGCCUGAGAAAUGGCUACCACAUCCAAGGAAGGCAGCAGG
rnacentral:rRNA from 1 species